rnacentral:rRNA from 1 species
UACGAAGGGGACUAGCGUUGUUCGGAAUUACUGGGCGUAAAGCGCACGUAGGCGGAUUUGUAAGUCAGGGGUGAAAUCCUGGAGCUCAACUCCAGAACUGCCUUUGAUACUGACGGUCUUGAGUUCGGGAGAGGUGAGUGGAACUGCGAGUGUAGAGGUGAAAUUCGUAGAUAUUGGGAAGAACACCGGUGGCGAAGGCGGCUCACUGGCUCGUUUCUGACGCUCAGGCGCGAUAGCGUGGGGAUCAAACAGG